CCAGGAACCCCUGAAGAUGACAUGUGGUUGCUGGUGGUUACCUGCUACCAGCAUAUUCUUCUCAAGACUUCCAAAGUGUUAUACUUCACCUCAAAAGAAAAGCUGGAGCUGCAGCAGUCAUCCUGAGACCACGAGGGAAAAGCCAAGAGAUUCGAAGUGACUUUAGACCUGAAAUUACUGAGCCAAUGAAAUAAUGCCAGCUAGCACACCUCCAACACUUCUUGUGCCAGGUAUAAUGCUUACAGGUGGAGCCAUUUCUCAAUUAUGAAGAUUGCGGCAGAGACUGCUGGUUCAUCCUCAAGGUCUACUCUCCUCUUCUUCCAGUAACAACCAAAUCCUAAUUUUAUGGUGGGCACCUGGUACCUGAAAUAAAGGCUCCCAUUUCUCAGCCUCCCUUGAAACUUAUGUGUGACCACAUGACCAAGCUCUACUCAAUAAAAUCU